rnacentral:misc_RNA from 1 species
UCUCCGUUGGUGAACCAGCGGAGGGAUCAUUACAGGACUCGCAAGACUCCUACAACCCUGUGAACUUAACUAUAAGCACGUUGCUUCGGCGGGUGUCUCGGAGGGGGUUCUCCCUCCCCGAGACGCUAAACCCGCCGGCAGCCUACUAUACUCUGUCUCUUUGCGUUGGCAUCUCGAGUACAAUCAAACAAGUUAAAACUUUCAACAACGGAUCUCUUGGUUCUGGCAUUGAUGAAGAACGCAGC